ACGAGAUCCGCGAGGCCCUCACCUCUUGCCGCGAAUUCCAGAAGGAGCAGAAGCUAGGGCUCCAUGAUUUCACCGGAGCGGUGUUUGAGAGGCGGUUGUACGGGCCGGAUGAUUUCGGGGAGCUCGAGACUAUGCCAACCCGGCCGGAGAGCUACCAGUAUCUGCUCGGGUGUCUGCAGGUGCCGGCGUUCUCGCUGAUGGGGAUG
rnacentral:misc_RNA from 1 species